UACGGGGGGGGCAAGCGUUGCUCGGAAUCACUGGGCGUAAAGCGCACGUAGGCGGCUUUCUAAGUCAGGGGUGAAAUCCUGGAGCUCAACUCCAGAACUGCCUUUGAUACUGGAGAGCUUGAGUCCGGGAGAGGUGAGUGGAACUCCGAGUGUAGAGGUGAAAUUCGUAGAUAUUCGGAAGAACACCAGUGGCGAAGGCGGCUCACUGGCCCGGUACUGACGCUGAGGUGCGAAAGCGUGGGGAGCAACCAGG
rnacentral:rRNA from 1 species